AAGCAGUUAGUCUAAACAAAACAUUUGAUUUCGGCUCAAAAAUUUGUGGUUAAACCCCACAACUGCCUA
rnacentral:tRNA from 2 species